AAAAUUUGUACAGCGCCAUCAAACACGAGCACCGAACGUGACGAAUUACAAAAGAGAUAGGAGAAGUAGACAGGAUUGGAGUAGAAAUAGAAGUCAAAGCAGAGAAAGGGUGACCAGGGGAGUUAUAAACACCAUUUCUGGUGGGUUCGCAGGAGGAGGCCCAUCGGUAUCUGCUUGCAAAAGACAUUUAAGAGGUUUGCAUCAUGUGAACCAAGCAGGAGUAGAUCGGAAAUCAAUGCCUGUGAU
rnacentral:lncRNA from 1 species